GAGGGUUUGAUCCUGGCUCAGAUUGAACGCUGGCGGCAGGCCUAACACAUGCAAGUCGAGCGGAUGAAGGGAGCUUGCUCCUGGAUUCAGCGGCGGACGGGUGAGUAAUGCCUAGGAAUCUGCCUGGUAGUGGGGGAUAACGUCCGGAAACGGGCGCUAAUACCGCAUACGUCCUGAGGGAGAAAGUGGGGGAUCUUCGGACCUCACGCUAUCAGAUGAGCCUAGGUCGGAUUAGCUAGUUGGUGGGGUAAAGGCCUACCAAGGCGACGAUCCGUAACUGGUCUGAGAGGAUGAUCAGUCACACUGGAACUGAGACACGGUCCAGACUCCUACGGGAGGCAGCAGUGGGGAAUAUUGGACAAUGGGCGAAAGCCUGAUCCAGCCAUGCCGCGUGUGUGAAGAAGGUCUUCGGAUUGUAAAGCACUUUAAGUUGGGAGGAAGGGCAGUAAGUUAAUACCUUGCUGUUUUGACGUUACCAACAGAAUAAGCACCGGCUAACUUCGUGCCAGCAGCCGCGGUAAUACGAAGGGUGCAAGCGUUAAUCGGAAUUACUGGGCGUAAAGCGCGCGUAGGUGGUUCAGCAAGUUGGAUGUGAAAUCCCCGGGCUCAACCUGGGAACUGCAUCCAAAACUACUGAGCUAGAGUACGGUAGAGGGUGGUGGAAUUUCCUGUGUAGCGGUGAAAUGCGUAGAUAUAGGAAGGAACACCAG
rnacentral:rRNA from 1 species